rnacentral:rRNA from 1 species
AUUGAACGCUGGCGGCAGGCCUAACACAUGCAAGUCGAGCGGCAGCGGGAAAGUAGCUUGCUACUUUUGCCGGCGAGCGGCGGACGGGUGAGUAAUGCCUGGGAAAUUGCCCAGUCGAGGGGGAUAACAGUUGGAAACGACUGCUAAUACCGCAUACGCCCUACGGGGGAAAGCAGGGGACCUUCGGGCCUUGCGCGAUUGGAUAUGCCCAGGUGGGAUUAGCUAGUUGGUGAGGUAAUGGCUCACCAAGGCGACGAUCCCUAGCUGGUCUGAGAGGAUGAUCAGCCACACAGGAACUGAGACACGGUCCAGACUCCUACGGGAGGCAGCAGUGGGGAAUAUUGCACAAUGGGGGAAACCCUGAUGCAGCCAUGCCGCGUGUGUGAAGAAGGCCUUCGGGUUGUAAAGCACUUUCAGCGAGGAGGAAAGGUUGAUGCCUAAUACGUAUCAACUGUGACGUUACUCGCAGAAGAAGCACCGGCUAACUCCGUGCCAGCCGCCGCAGUAAGAC